rnacentral:pre_miRNA from 1 species
AGUACAGUUGCUGGAUCAAAUGGUAGUUAUAUGUUUAAUUUUUAAGAAAAUGCCAAACAUUUUUUCCAGAAUGAUUGCACCAUUUUAUGUUCUUAUCAGUGGC